UACAGAGGUCUCAAGCGUUGUUUGGAUUCAUUGGGCGUAAAGGGUGCGUAGGCGGCGCGGUAAGUCGGGUGUGAAAUCUUGGAGCUUAACUCCGAAACUGCAUUCGAUACUGCCGUGCUUGAGGACUGGAGAGGAGACUGGAAUUUACGGUGUAGCGGUGAAAUGCGUAGAUAUCGUAAGGAAGACCAGUGGCGAAGGCGGGUCUCUGGACAGUUCCUGACGCUGAGGCACGAAGGCCAGGGAGCAAACGGG
rnacentral:rRNA from 1 species